AUGGCGAACUCUGUGUCUGGGGUGGCGGUGAACGAGGAGUGCGUGAAGGCGUUCCAGGAGCUGCGGGCGGAGCGCAAGCACCGGUUCGUGGUGUACAAGAUGGACGACGACGCGCAGCAGGUGGUGGUGGACAAGGUGGGCGCGCUCGACGCCACCUUCGACGACCUGGCGGCGGCGAUGCCCGCCGACGACUGCCGCUACGCCGUCUACGACCUGGACUUCGUGUCGGAGGACUCGGCCGGCGAGACCCCCCGCAGCAAGAUCUUCUUCAUCCACUGGUCGCCGGAGUCGGCGGACGCGAGGAACAAGAUGCUGUACGCCAGCUCCACGGAGGGGCUCAAGAAGGAGCUGGACGGCGUGCAGAUCGACGUGCAGGCCACCGACGCCAGCGAGCUCACGCUCGACAUCCUCAAGGACUACACCACCUAA
rnacentral:rRNA from 1 species